GAUGAACGCUGGCGGCGUGCCUAAUACAUGCAAGUCGAGCGAACAGAUGAGGAGCUUGCUCCUCUGACGUUAGCGGCGGACGGGUGAGUAACACGUGGAUAACCUACCUAUAAGACUGGGAUAACUUCGGGAAACCGGAGCUAAUACCGGAUAAUAUAUUGAACCGCAUGGUUCAAUAGUGAAAGACGGUUUUGCUGUCACUUAUAGAUGGAUCCGCGCCGCAUUAGCUAGUUGGUAAGGUAACGGCUUACCAAGGCAACGAUGCGUAGCCGACCUGAGAGGGUGAUCGGCCACACUGGGACUGAGACACGGUCCAGACUCCUACGGGAGGCAGCAGUAGGGAAUCUUCCGCAAUGGGCGAAAGCCUGACGGAGCAACGCCGCGUGAGUGAUGAGGGUCUUCGGAUCGUAAAACUCUGUUAUUAGGGAAGAACAAAUGUGUAAGUAACUAUGCACGUCUUGACGGUACCUAAUCAGAAAGCCACGGCUAACUACGUG
rnacentral:rRNA from 1 species